GACGAACGCUGGCGGCGUGCUUAACACAUGCAAGUCGAACGGAAAGGCCCUGCUUUUGUGGGGUGCUCGAGUGGCGAACGGGUGAGUAGCACGUGAGUAACCUGCCCUUGACUUUGGGAUAACUUCAGGAAACUGGGGCUAAUACCGGAUAGGAGCUCCUGCUGCAUGGUGGGGGUUGGAAAGUUUCGGCGGUUGGGGAUGGACCCGCGGCUUAUCAGCUUGUUGGUGGGGUAGUGGCUUACCAAGGCUUUGACGGGUAGCCGGCCUGAGAGGGUGACCGGCCACAUUGGGACUGAGAUACGGCCCAGACUCCUACGGGAGGCAGCAGUGGGGAAUAUUGCACAAUGGGCGGAAGCCUGAUGCAGCAACGCCGCGUGCGGGAUGACGGCCUUCGGGUUGUAAACCGCUUUCGCCUGUGACGAAGCGUGAGUGACGGUAAUGGGUAAAGAAGCACCGGCUAACUACGUG
rnacentral:rRNA from 1 species